UUGCAAAUCUCCAUCCCUUUCUCUAUUGGUAAGUAUUUCUUUGCUCAAAACUUUUCUAUUUUUUUCAAUUUUUAGUUUUGCUCUUAUACUUUAAGAUUCAAUUUUUCUAGUUUCUUACUAAUGGAGAUGAAAAAAUAAUCUUUUAUUGUGUACAAUAUCUGGGUAUCUCUGUACAAUCUUUCUUUUAUACUCAAAGCUUUGAACUUUUUAUAAUUUCAGAUUCUUGGGCUAAAAAGAAGUAAUUUUAUUUUGUUUAAUUUUUGGGUAUGCUUCGUUAAUUUGGGUUUUCGUUUACACUAAUUUGGCUUCUGGGUAACUGUAGAUUUAUUGAUAUGUACUAUUUUGGACCUUUAUUUAUCUGCUUACUUUGUGCUUUUUUUUCUUGGGUUGAAUAGUCUAAUUUGGGUUCUGAGUAAGUAUAUUUCGUUGGUUUUCUUGUGAUUAAUUGUUUGUGGGUUCUUUAAGAUAAGACUUUUUAUUGAUGGCAAGUUUUUUCCUUUAGAUUUGUAGAUAUUUAAGUACUUUUUUGGACCUUUAUUUUGUCUAUUUCAUUUGUGUUUUCUGUUAAUUGUUUGUGGGGUUUUAGUUUAGGCUUGAAAUUCCAACUAAAUUGUUCUCCGAAGCAUUACAUCGAACACUCAAUUCCUUAGAAGAAAACACACUGCCUCGCUUGUGGUUGUCACAGGUAGUAGCUGAAAUUAUUUGUUGCAACAAUUUAGGAUCAUUUAGAGUUGAUGAGUUUAUAUCAACACCCUCCUCAUUUGCUAGGAUUUCAAAUGUGUUUGGACUGGCGACAGUUUGUAGAGCAUUUCGUCGAUCACCUGAACCCCUCGUCUUUUGUUGCUGUGUCUUCGCACCUGUAGGUGUGUUCUACUUGGUAAAAGCUUCCCUUACCACAGUCCAAUCAUUCCCAGUUGUGUUCUUAUUAAGUCCAUCUUCAUUGGAGGAAGUUGAAGCAUGUUCAUGUCCUUCCAAAUUAUUAGUUGCAGCAUUCAAAAAAGUUGUUUGUACCCCAACAUUGACCUGAACAUUUGCAGGAUUUUGAGGGCACAUAUCCUCUUUAUUCACUGCCUUUGCACCUGUAGUAGCUGUAUUAUCCAAAGCAUCACCACAUUCUUGUGCACCAGAUUUUAAAACCUCACCAGUAGAUAUAACACCUUCUGCCUUUUCAACAUCUUUAAUCACUGCCUCAACCCUUGUAGCAGCUGCAUUAUCCAAAGCACCAAGACCUUCAAUCUGCACAGCAGAAACUUUAAAAUCUACUGGUUUUCGGUUACUUCAAGUGCAGCAUUCAAGUGCCAACUAGUAUGCACCAAGGGGAUAAAUCUUGGAUUCCUUGCAAGUGCCAACGAAGACCAGUUAUUCCUAACUAGUAUUUUAAUAUAUUCUCUAUCUUCAUUGAAUAGUUAUUCUAUUUAUGUAUUAUCUCCAUCUGCUAGAACAAUUAUUACUAAGGGUAAAAUGAGAAAAAAUAAUUAAUUGUGUAUUAAACUUAUAAAAUGACGAAUAAUUUGAGACAAUUAUUUUUAGAAGUCACGACAGAUAAUUUGAGACAGAGGCAGUGGCGGAUCCAGAAUUUUAUGUUCGUGGGUGCUUAAUUUUUCUUGAUGUGUAGUAACUACUUAAUUUUUUUGUUGGUAGGUGUUUUCUUUUCCUUUUAUAUCAGAUGCCUUAAAUUUCUUAUAUGACUAUAUCUAUGUUGUGUAAAGUUUAAUGGGUGCUGAAGCACCUAAAUUUAGUACGUAGUUCUGCCCCUGAGAGGGAGUAUAUGACUACUAUAUAUAACAUUACUUUUUA
rnacentral:lncRNA from 1 species